rnacentral:lncRNA from 1 species
CUCGCACUCGGUUCCGAAACGACUGGCGAUCCAGAAGUAAAUUCUGUCCCCGGCGCGGAAGCGCCGUGCACCUUUGUGCAGAAAUACGGCCAAAAGCGUACGUCUUUCCCCAUUUAGGGGAACACGUGGGAAAGGCAGCGCGCACGGAGAAAAAGAACCUGGGGAAGAACCGCGGGGACGGCACGGAGAGAGGUGACAGAGAGGGCGUGCGCGGGAGUGUCCGUCCUGUUCUACGCAGCUGUCGGUUUUUUAACGCAUCUCACACUUUCGCAGAGAACCCCUGCCUUUCGCGUUCUCUCUCCGGAAAGGUUUCGCCACGAGGAGAGAGGCGGGGCGCGGGAACCUCCCCGCCGCGUCGCCCUGUGUCGUGGCACGGGGGGAGAGAAACAGCAGAGGACGGGAAGGGGAGGAAGUGGUUUUCUGGCCGACGAACGAGAGCUGUGAGCAGAAGCCUUGCUUGCGGGGACAUCCAAGCGGUUGGUGAAACCGGGCGCAACGAGAGAAUGCGAUCCUGCGAGAGGACUGGCACGCUCUGUGAGGGGCGCCGACGCCCGAGAGCGAACACCCAAGGAAGCAAAUGUGUCUACAGCCUGUUUAGAAGUAUUCGCGACGCGGUGGACGACUGGAUGAGAGCUUGAAUGGACUUGUUUUUACCGGGCGCAAGUUCGAGUUGGGUGGUCCAUUGGUCUCUCCCGCCCCUGCGCUGAAGAAGACGUGGUGGUCCAGCGCGUGGCGGGGUAGCAGCUAUGCUGUCUCGACGAUCUCCGGAAGAGAAGAUAUACCCACAGCGUGUGUGCUUUCUAUGUAUGCCAGUCGACGGCGAGAGGGAAGACAGUCGCAGAUACGCAUCCACAAAAUUUGAACACGAGAGCACAUGUGCCCGUCGCCUUGCCUCGUUCACCGAACAUAGGCACUCUCCGCUCACCCGGAGGCAGAGGCACGUGUUCCUACUUGCCUGUCAGGUGUGUGUUUCUGUCACGUCUUUUUACUUCUGGGGAUUCCUCGACAAUCGUCCUUUGCGUCCCUCCCCCUUCCCUCUUCAGCUUGCAUUCCAGAAAUCGAUAGUGUUGCACAGCAGGCAAAAAAACAGCCACACGGACCCCCCG